CGCCACAGCCAUAUCACCCUGCAGCCCAAGACUGGUUGCCCACUGAAGCUAAGCAGGGUUGAGCCUGGUCAGUACCUGGAUGGGAGACCUCCUGGGAAAACUAGGUUGCUGUUGGAA
rnacentral:rRNA from 1 species